CUUCCUCCACACCUCUCUCUGCCUAGCAAGCUUCUGCUUAUCCUUUGAACCCAGCCCAAACCGCACCUCCUCUUUGAAGCUUUUCAUGCGUCUCUAGGCAACAAGGUGUGACCAUCUGUAGUAGUUAAUAAUGUGAGCUUUGGAGCCAGGUUGCCUGCCUUCAAAUCCUGGCUUUGCCGUCUUCUUCGCUGUAUGGUCUUAGGCCUCCAGGGAAGUUCCCGACACCUGGGAAGAUGUUCCUAGUGGUCUGACAAAAAUGCCCCCCAAAACCACUUCAUGGCCAAUCUCAAAAGUAACCAUGCAAAAUAAACCCUGAAGUGUUAAGGGAUAAUGGGGUAUGAUGCCUGCAACUCGGUCCAGAGAAAAAACAAAUAAAGAUGGAAGAAGAGAACGAUAAUGCGAAUGUGUUAAAAUGUUCCCAAUCGCUGUACCGUGCUGGCAACUCUUCUCCCACCCACCCAAGUCACUGGAUGGUCAUUUCUGGACUGAGUAGCUCGUGGUACCAGUGUGGUUGUCUGUAUCCCAAAGAAUGCCCAGGUUCUGGCAUCGCCUGCUCCUGUGACCUCCAAGGGAGCCAAUGCCUCUGGAAAAUGCAAAUCUGGAAGGAUUCAGUUUCCAAUGUCCAAUAACCAGGAAUUGGGUGCAGAAGAAUGAUACGGAAAUGUGUGCAUGAUAAACUAUGAAAUGAACAGAGCGUUUUGACUCAAGAUAUUUUCCAUUUUUACUAAAAAAACAAAACACAGAAGACAAAAUAAAAAUGUAUCAUGAUGACAUGCACACAAAGGAAGAGAAGAACCUAACCCAAAAUAUCAUUACUUCCAAGUGCUGGAACUGUAGGAGGAAUUGUGCUUUCUUCUGUUUGCUUGUAUUUAU